UACAUGGGGUGCAAACGUUGCUCGGAAUCAUUGGGCGUAAAGCGCGCGUAGGCGGUUACUUAAGUCGGAUGUGAAAGCCCUCGGCUUAACUGAGGAAGUGCAUCCGAAACUGAGUAGCUAGAGUACGAAAGAGGGUCGCGGAAUUCCCGGUGUAGAGGUGAAAUUCGUAGAUAUCGGGAGGAACACCGGUGGCGAAGGCGGCGACCUGGGUCGAGACUGACGCUGAGGCGCGAAAGCGUGGGGAGCAAACAGG
rnacentral:rRNA from 1 species